rnacentral:lncRNA from 1 species
AUUGAUUGGACACCUUACUUAUUUUGCAUUGCAUCUCUAUAAUUAACUUUAAGGAUACUUAACCUAUUAAUCAGAUAAGGUGGAGAUUUGAUCAUCCUUCUUUAGUCCAAAAAUUAUAUUUUUCAUCCUACAUAACCUAGACCUUAAUUUAAAAUUAUUUAGACGUCGGCCCUAGGAUAUUCGAGCUCAAUAGGACCAACAAACCUUAGAGUU